AGUGAACGCUGGCGGUAGGCCUAACACAUGCAAGUCGAACGGCAGCACAGGAGAGCUUGCUCUCUGGGUGGCGAGUGGCGGACGGGUGAGGAAUACAUCGGAAUCUACUCUGUCGUGGGGGAUAACGUAGGGAAACUUACGCUAAUACCGCAUACGACCUACGGGUGAUAGCAGGGGACCUUCGGGCCUUGAGCGAUUGAAUUAGCCGAUGUCGGAUUAGCUAGUUGGCGGGGUAAAGGCCCACCAAGGCGACGAUCCGUAGCUGGUCUGAGAGGAUGAUCAGCCACACUGGAAGUGAGACACGGUACAGACUCCUACGGGAGGCAGCAGUGGGGAAUAUUGGACAAUGGGCGCAAGCCUGAUCCAGCCAUACCGCGUGGGUGAAGAAGGCCUUCGGGUUGUAAAGCCCUUUUGUUGGGAAAGAAAUCCAGCUGGCUAAUACCCGGUUGGGAUGACGGUACCCAAAGAAUAAGCACCGGCUAACUUCGUGCCAGCAGCAGCCGCCG
rnacentral:rRNA from 1 species